rnacentral:rRNA from 1 species
UACGUAGGUACCGAGCGUUGUCCGGAUUUAUUGGGCGUAAAGCGAGCGCAGGUGGUUUAUUAAGUCUGGUGUAAAAGGCAGUGGCUCAACCAUUGUAUGCAUUGGAAACUGGUAGACUUGAGUGCAGGAGAGGAGAGUGGAAUUCCAUGUGUAACGGUGAAAUGCGUAGAUAUAUGGAGGAACACCGGUGGCGAAAGCGGCUCUCUGGCCUGUAACUGACACUGAGGCUCGAAAGCGUGGGGAGCAAACAGG